GUUCCUUGUGAUGAUCGAUUCGAUAAACCAUGCUAAUUCUGAUUGUUUUGUGAUUGAAAUUUAUUUCACAUAUUUCUUCUGAAGGAACA